rnacentral:rRNA from 1 species
CCUACGGGGGGCUGCAGUGGGGAAUAUUGGACAAUGGGGGGAACCCUGACCCAGCCAUGCCGCGUGUGUGAAGAAGGCCCUCGGGUUGUAAAGCACUUUCAGUGAGGAAGAACGCCUGGUGGUUAAUACCCAUCAGGAAAGACAUCACUCACAGAAGAAGCACCGGCUAACUCCGUGCCAGCAGCCGCGGUAAUACGGAGGGUGCGAGCGUUAAUCGGAAUUACUGGGCGUAAAGCGCGCGUAGGUGGCUUGAUAAGCCGGUUGUGAAAGCCCCGGGCUCAACCUGGGAACGGCAUCCGGAACUGUCAAGCUAGAGUGCAGGAGAGGAAGGUAGAAUUCCCGGUGUAGCGGUGAAAUGCGUAGAGAUCGGGAGGAAUACCAGUGGCGAAGGCGGCCUUCUGGACUGACACUGACACUGAGGUGCGAAAGCGUGGGUAGCAAACAGGAUUAGAUACCCGGGUAGUC